AUGCGCAGUGCGCGCGAUAAAUCAGGUGUCACCUAUCUACUUAUGUGACAAGUACAGAUUUUUAUCCUCAUUACCAUAAACCUGAUCGUACAAGUUUGAUUUUUUAAUUGUUCAUUAACAUAGUUAUCGAUUAUGAUAGUAUAGUGGAAGCGUGAGGUGCGUGAGAAGAAUACGGUUAUGCCUUCGAUCCGAGAAUCGCAACAGAGUCGAGCUUCAAUGAAGGAUCACAAAGAAAGUACCAACCAUGGUACAUUCUCUUUGUCAUAAUGUACAUAGCGACGUCAGAGGAUGCAUUUGUCUAGAAUUACAUUUCGUCCCCGAAGGCCUUAGGGACAGGCUUCUCAGGUCUACGGUUGGAACAACGCAAUAGCAAUGGCUUGAUAACUUUUUCGGUUAUCGGUGGAGCGGACGUCGGUGAAAACUUUGCUCAAAGAUAAACGUCGCAGUCGACGCCGAUCUUGAAAUGGCAGUCAGAGCAGCUGUGUUUUCGUACGUUGGCACAGCUGGGUAGAGAUGCACCACGACCAGACGUUUCAUCCUCGACAAAAAAAUCAAGCAAAAUUUUUUGAGAAGUUUCAAAAAAGCCUUUAAAAGUAUUGUUGAAAGGAUUGGUGACCCUUUGGACGAAUCUACGUUGCACAAUCAACAGACAGUCGACAGUUAUGCGUUGACAGUUAAAAAAGUUGUGGAGAGCGGCGGUGUCCUCGAGUUCGGUGGUAACGUGAUAGACCGACCAGGAUUUUAUGUCGAGCCAACAAUAUUAACAGAUUUACCAAUGACCGCGGACGUCGUACAAAAAUAAACCUUCGCACCAAUUGUUUACGUUCUCGAGUGCAACUCCGUUGAGGAAGCAAUAGCUAUGAAAAAUGGAGUUAACAAGGACUCGGCAGCUCUUUGUUCACCAGAAAUUUGUCCAACGUCUUUAAGUGGAUCAGACUGCGGUAUCGCGAAUGUAAACAUCGGAACAAGCUGUGCAGAAAUCGGUGGCGAAAAAUCGACGGGCGGCGGUCGGGAGAGCGGAAGCGACGUAUGGAAUAGUUACAUGAGACGAGCGACGGUGACGAUGAAUCACGGGGACGAAAAUUCGAAUCCUCAAGCGGUUUCGCCUGUUCCUGGCACUGUUGAAAAGUAUGAAUUAAACAAAUUGCAACUAAAAAUUGGCCGUGCAGUCAGAGAAUAAGUUCAACAGCGGUAUAGCAACUGUAUCCUCCACGGACAGUUGAAAGCCAUACCGAAGAAAUUUAGUCUGGAAAAAGACGACAAAGAUGCUAUAGAAGAAAAACAUUGAGAAGAGAGAAUUGGAGCCAAAGUCGUGCCGAAACCAGUCAUGGAUGUACUUGGCGAAGAACUCGAUUAAUUAAGCUCCUUAGAGAAUCAUAGCGGCGAGUUCAAAUACGUGAAAGAGCAUUAGCUUUCUGUUUCCCUUCGAAAUCCACUAAAAAAUAUGCUCUUGUAACAAAUGGUAAAAAUCAUUAACUCACUUUAUUAAACGACUCAUAUCAAUAUUUACAUGUCGAUUUUAUUUUCAUCAUGACAUUUUUAUAUUUCAUUUCUUCACAUUUUACUCAACAUGGCAUGAGGAAUGUGUCUAAUCUAAGCAAGAAGUCAUGAUGUUUAUUAGAACAUAAAUCAACUUGAAUAAUAACUCUCAAUAAGAUUUUCAAAUAAAAUAUUUUUUGUGUUGAAAAAUCAA
rnacentral:misc_RNA from 1 species